rnacentral:rRNA from 1 species
ACGAACGCUGGCGGCAGGCCUAACACAUGCAAGUCGAACGCUACGUAGCAAUACGAGAGUGGCAGGACGGGUGAGUAACACGUGGGAACCUUCCCUACGGUCGGGAAUAGCCAGGGAAACUUGGGGUAAUACGGAUACGCCCUUCGGGGGAAAGAUUUAUCGCCGUUGGAUGGGCCCGCGUCGGAUUAGCUAGUUGGUGAGGUAAUGGCUCAACCAAGGCGACGAUCCGUAGCUGGUCUGAGAGGAUGAUCAGCCACACUGGGACUGAGACACGGCCCAGACUCCUACGGGAGGCAGCAGUGGGGAAUAUUGGACAAUGGGCGCAAGCCUGAUCCAGCCAUGCCGCGUGAGUGACGAAGGCCUUAGGGUUGUAAAGCUCUUUUGGCGGGGGACGAUAAUGACGGUACCCCGCAGAAUAAGCUCCGGCUAACUCGUGCCAGCAGCCGCGGUAAUACGAAGGGAGCUAGCGUUGUUCGGAAUCACUGGGCGUAAAGCGCAACGUAGGCGGGUUUGUCAGUCAGGGGUGAAAUCCCGGGGCUCAACUCGGAACUGCCCUGAUACAGCAAGCCUUAGAGUCCGGAAGAGGUGGGUGGAAUUCCUAGUGUAGAGGUGAAAUUCGUAGAUAUAGGAAGAACACCGGUGGCGAAGGCGGCCCACUGGUCCGGCACUGACGCUGAGGUGCGAAAGCGUGGGGAGCAAACACGGAUUAGAUACCCUGGUAGUCCACGCCGUAAACGAUGGAUGCUAGCCGUCAGCAAGCAUGCUUGUUGGUGGCGCAGCUAACGCAUUAAGCAUCCCGCCUGGGAGUACGGCCGCAAGGUUAAAACUCAAAGGAAUUGACGGGGGCCCGCACAAGCGGUGGAGCAUGUGGUUUAAUUCGACGCAACGCGAAGAACUUACCAGCCCUUGACAUUGCCCGGACGGUUUCCAGAGAUGGAUUCCUCCUAGCAAUAGGUCGAGACACAGGUGCUGCAUGGCUGUCGUCAGCUCGUGUCGUGAGAUGUUGGGUUAAGUCCCGCAACAAGCGCAACCCUCGCCAUUAGUUGCCAUCAUUCGUUGGGCACUCUAGUGGACUGCCGGUGAUAAGCCGGAGGAAGGUGGGGAUGACGUCAAGUCAAUCAGGCCCUUACGGGCUGGGCUACACACGUGCUACAUGCGGUGACAGUGGGCAGCCACCUAGCAAUAGGCAGCUAAUCCCAAAAAGCCGUCUCAGUUCGGAUUGAGCUCUGCAACUCGAGCUCAUGAAGUUGGAAUCGCUAGUAAUCGUAGAUCAGCACGCUACGGUGAAUACGUUCCCGGCCUUGUACACACCGCCCGUCACACCAUGGGAGUUGGCUUUACCCGAAGACGGUGCGCUAACCGCAAGGAGGCAGCCGGCCACGGUAAGGUCAGCGACUGGGGUG